ACUCAAAGGAAUAGACGGGGGCCCGCACAAGCGGUGGAGCAUGUGGUUUAAUUCGACGCAACGCGAAGAACCUUACCUGGGCUCGAAAUGCUAUGGACCGGGGUAGAAAUAUCCCUUCCCCGCAAGGGGCCGUAGUAUAGGUGCUGCAUGGCUGUCGUCAGCUCGUGUCGUGAGAUGUUGGGUUAAGUCCCGCAACGAGCGCAACCCUUAUCCCCAGUUGCCAUCAUUUAGUUGGGCACUCUGGUGAAACCGCCUCGGAUAACGGGGAGGAAGGUGGGGAUGACGUCAAGUCCUCAUGGCCUUUAUGUCCAGGGCUACACACGUGCUACAAUGGCCGGUACAAACCGUCGCAAACCCGCGAGGGGGAGCUAAUCGGAAAAAGCCGGCCUCAGUUCGGAUUGCAGUCUGCAACUCGACUGCAUGAAGCUGGAAUCGCUAGUAAUCGCGGAUCAGAAUGCCGCGGUGAAUACGUUCCCGGGCCUUGUACACACCGCCCGU
rnacentral:rRNA from 1 species